GGUGAGAUAGCCCAACUGGUUAGGGCGCCGGUAUACUAGUCAUCCGGCAGCGGGUUCGAAUCCCGCACUCACCA